AGCAUAAUAUACAUAUUCAAAUUUCAAAUCAUUUUAUUACUAUUAUUAUUAUUAUUACCUGUUCAGCGCAGAAGGAGAAACAAAGUUCAUAGGAGGAGAGUAAGUAGGAGUUUUCAGUGACAAGUUGUUCAAGAGCUGAGAUGGAGGAAAUAUCAAGAAGAUGAGAUUUGAGGCAUGUAAUAUUGGUGGUGGGUGAGCAGAAUGAGAACCAAAGCUCAUUGAAGGGGAGUAAGUAGGAGUUUUCAUCGACAAGUUGUUCAAGGGCCAAGAUAGAGAAGGAAAUAUCAACGAGAUGAGAUUUCAGGUGUGUAAUAUUGGUGGUGGCAAGUUUCAAUGACUCAGAAAGUUGGGACUCAAUAGAGCGUCUGGAAUCACAGAAUUUGGAGAGGAAAGAAGCAAAGGAUUCAGUAGACGAGGAGAAGGAUCAUUCGUUGAAGGUUUGGUGGCAGUUACAGAGGCAAUCAA
rnacentral:misc_RNA from 1 species